UGCCAAAGCCAAGCAGCAGCAGCAGGCGAACGAUAUAGCUAGCUCGCUCGCUCGCUCCCGACUUUGUAGCCAACUUUUGCCAGUGCUAUAUACGGUGUGCCUUCGAGACGACGGACGACGGUGUGUGCGUCUCUUCUCUAUCUCUCUCCGCGUUUAAAGAGCGAAUACAUAGAGAAAAUUAUAUCAAUCGCGUGUAUAAUCGCGGAAAGGAGACAUCGGAUCGCGUGAGUCUUCUCGGUCGUCGAGCGGGGGAGAAGACAACAACGACGACGACGAGUAAAAAAAAAUAUUGUGCGCGUGAAGGCGGACGAGGAUUUUUAAAAGAAGUGAAUGGUCGAAAAAAUAGAGGAGCCGCCGAAGGCCACUCGAUAAAGGAAAGAGAUUCGUGGUGUUGACCAGCCCGAGUUGUGCAUGUAAAAUAGUCGUCGACUGCGAAUGCCACUGUAGCAGGAGCAGGGCACCAACGCACCAACACACACACAUAUAUGUAGACAAGCUGAUUGCAGCUGACAGCUCCGCAUAUAGUCUGCUGUGUGUGUGCGCGCGUGUAUAUACACAGGAGCGCAGCAGAGUUUUAGAGAGCAGAAGACGCAGAUAGAGAGAAGGCAAAGGAGCAGAAUAUAUAAUAUUCAAAAAAGUUUGACGUUGUGUAGUCGUCGUCGUUGCCGUAGCUGCUUUUCCAGGGAUCUUUUAAAGAACCCGUAUCACAUCGAAGUUAUUGUGCCUCGAUCGACAAACGCCACCCCAAACGCACAAGGUUCAUCGCGCUCUGCAGCCAUCAUACAGCUCAUCACACAGAUAUCGCUUCUUUUUCUCUCUCACACUCGAUCUUCUUCCUCUCUAAACUUGCCUGUCUCUCAUCACUUUACACACUUAAACACACUUGCACCGCACGACGUGAUAAUCAGUAGUCCGAUGCAAGUCUGCCGCACGUUGCCAAAGGCUUCAGAACGUUAAGUCGCCUGAGACGCAAGCUCGUCCGAGCCAAUACAACCGCCGCUUCAGCCGGAGUAGCAGUAAGCGAGCUCGAGGACCAUCGUGAGAAUAACAAGGAGGAAAAAGAAGCGGAAGAGGAGCAGCAGCGAGCGACCACUUGGUCGAAUCGUCGGAGUUGGCGUCGCUCCGAGUACCGGAGAAGAGGCAGGGCGGCCACGAUGCCGGCGGCCAGCGGUAUCGGCGCCUCGUACAGGUCGCUCGGUGACCUGGGCGAGGACGUCUACAAGAGCACGACCGUAGCUGAUAAUAAUGGCGGCGGUGGUGGCAUUGGCACCACCACCACGGCGAGCGUGCUCGAGUCCGUGAAGAAGGCCUUCAGCUUCGCCGCGCCGGCAGUGAUGAAGGUCGACUUCGCCCAGGGCAGGAAGAAAGAGCCGCUGAUCGAGGAGCAGCAGCGACGCGAGACGAUCUCGAUCGUGUCCAGAGAUAAAGCCAAGAUGCCGACCGCCGCCAGUGCUGAGGAAUCGGCCCUUCUGGGCGCCAUGCCGUCGGACAGUAUGGACGACAUCGAGCUGAAGAACAUCCAGCUGCAGUUCCCGGCCCUGAGGUACCUGUCGAGGGACGACGGCUCGGUGCACGAGGAGCGAGUGGAGACCGACAAGGGCUCAGUCGUGGUCGCCGUCCAGGGCAAUCGUGCGAAACCUGCCAUUAUCACGUAUCAUGAUCUAGGCCUUAACUAUAUCUCGAGCUUCCAGGCGUUUUUCAAUUACAUCGAUAUGCGAGUCCUGCUGGAGAACUUCUGCGUCUAUCACGUGAACGCACCCGGCCAAGAGGAGGGAGCGCCGUCGUUCUCCGACGACUACGUGUACCCGACGAUGGACGAGUUGGCCGAGCAGCUGCUCUUCGUGAUGGGCCACUUCAGGCUGCGCAACGCCAUCGGCUUCGGGGUCGGCGUCGGCGCCAACGUCCUGGCGCGCUUCGCCCUGGCCCACCCGGACAAGGUCAACGCCCUGUGCCUCAUCAAUUGCGUCUCGACGCAGGCCGGCUGGAUCGAGUGGGGCUACCAGAAACUCAACUGUCGCCAUCUGCGCUCGCAGGGCAUGACCCAGGGCGUCCUCGAUUAUCUCAUGUGGCAUCAUUUCGGCAGGGACACCGACGAGCGCAAUCACGACCUCGUGCAGGUCUACAAGAACUACUUCGAGCGGCGCGUCAAUCCGACGAAUCUGGCCCUGUUCAUCGACAGCUACGUGCGCCGCACCGAUCUCAACAUCGUGCGCGAGCUCGACCCCACCCGCAAGAAGGACAACACGACCCUGAGCGUGCCGGUGAUGAACAUCACGGGCUCGCUGAGUCCCCACGUCGAGGACACGGUGACGCUCAACGGACGCCUCGAUCCCACCAACAGUUCGUGGAUGAAGAUAUCCGAUUGCGGAAUGGUGCUGGAGGAGCAGCCCGGCAAAGUGAGCGAGGCCUUCCGAUUGUUCCUGCAGGGUGAAGGAUAUGUGUGCCGAACUGCUCGGGAAGACUCAGUACGGCGUCUACAACACCCGAAGGUAAAUGUUAUUAGGAUUUGAAGCCGCAAAGGAGUUGAACGCGCUGUGUCGGUCAAUUAGCCCACUUCUAAUCGUUAACCGCACCACUAUCCCCGCUAAAAAUGGCCGAUUACAGACUAGCGUCGCUCGAAGGGCUGAAUCAUAUCUGCAGUAAGAAAAUAGACUGGC
rnacentral:misc_RNA from 1 species